GAUGAACGCUGGCGGCGUGCCUAAUACAUGCAAGUCGAGCGAACAGAUGAGGAGCUUGCUCCUCUGACGUUAGCGGCGGACGGGUGAGUAACACGUGGAUAACCUACCUAUAAGACUGGGAUAACUUCGGGAAACCGGAGCUAAUACCGGAUAAUAUAUUGAACCGCAUGGUUCAAUAGUGAAAGACGGUUUUGCUGUCACUUGUAGAUGGAUCCGCGCCGCAUUAGCUAGUUGGUAAGGUAACGGCUUACCAAGGCAACGAUGCGUAGCCGACCUGAGAGGGUGAUCGGCCACACUGGAACUGAGACACGGUCCAGACUCCUACGGGAGGCAGCAGUAGGGAAUCUUCCGCAAUGGGCGAAAGCCUGACGGAGCAACGCCGCGUGAGUGAUGAAGGUCUUCGGAUCGUAAAACUCUGUUAUUAGGGAAGAACAAAUGUGUAAGUAACUAUGCACGUCUUGACGGUACCUAAUCAGAAAGCCACGGCUAACUUCGUG
rnacentral:rRNA from 1 species